UGGUGGGUAGUUUGACUGGGGCGGUCUCCUCCUAAAGAGUAACGGAGGAGCACGAAGGUUGGCUAAUCCUGGUCGGACAUCAGGAGGUUAGUGCAAUGGCAUAAGCCAGCUUGACUGCGAGCGUGACGGCGCGAGCAGGUGCGAAAGCAGGUCAUAGUGAUCCGGUGGUUCUGAAUGGAAGGGCCAUCGCUCAACGGAUAAAAGGUACUCCGGGGAUAACAGGCUGAUACCGCCCAAGAGUUCAUAUCGACGGCGGUGUUUGGCACCUCGAUGUCGGCUCAUCACAUCCUGGGGCUGAAGUAGGUCCCAAGGGUAUGGCUGUUCGCCAUUUAAAGUGGUACGCGAGCUGGGUUUAGAACGUCGUGAGACAGUUCGGUCCCUAUCUGCCGUGGGCGCUGGAGAACUGAGGGGGGCUGCUCCUAGUACGAGAGGACCGGAGUGGACGCAUCACUGGUGUUCGGGUUGUCAUGCCAAUGGCACUGCCCGGUAGCUAAAUGCGGAAGAGAUAAGUGCUGAAAGCAUCUAAGCACGAAACUUGCCCCGAGAUGAGUUCUCCCUGACCCUUUAAGGGUCCUGAAGGAACGUUGAAGACGACAACGUUGAUAGGCCGGGUGUGUAAGCGCAGCGAUGCGUUGAGCUAACCGGUA
rnacentral:rRNA from 1 species